ACGAAAUGAUAUAUGAACAAAUAUGAUUUAAUAUGGAGUUCCAACGUCGACUAGGGUUUAGGGGGGGUUUCGACCUUGCCGAACACGAAGAAGGGCGUAGGUCAGCUGCAAGUCUUCUGCUUGGCUGGCUGUGGCUCGCUGCGGCUCGGCUGGAGGCAGCAGGCAGCGAGAAGGCAUCACUUCUUCGGCCAAAACACAACGGGACCAAAACUUCCCUGCAACAGUGGAAGAACACGGCACGAAGGCCGGUCUCAGCGAGGCGAAAUAGGAAGGGGAAAACCUUGGUCUGGGCGAGGCUCACCGGGGGUUUGGCUUGGCGAGGUCGUGCACAGGAGUUCGACGUGGUGACCGUGGCGAGGACGGGGACGCCGCGGGCUCCUGGGCGAGGUCACGGCGUCGUCGUGGUGGCGCAGAUCGAUAUCGGGGUCACGGUCGCGGUCUCCAUGGCUGGCAUGGACGUGGUCGUGGACACCGGACGAGGUCGCGGUGCUUGGCGUGGGCGCGGCCACGGCGGUGAGGUGCUCGGCGAAGAGGGGGUCCGCGGCUCCUGGCGAGGUCCGGGACACGGGCGAUGCAGAGCUUGACGGAGUAGGACUCGCCGAAGUCGGCGUCGCGGCUCCGGUGUCGCCGCGUCGGGGCUUCGAGGUGCUCGGCGUCGACGAUCCAAGGGCGAGGUCGUCGCGAAGGUCGCGGCCGGGGCGAGGUUGGUGCUCGGCUGCUGGGAAUGGAGCAGACAGCGACGGCGGCCAUGGCUUUUAUACGCGUCGGGCUAGGGUUCCAGGGGGAGCCACGUUCAUCCUCGGCGUCCGUGUCAGCUGCGGGACACGCGGCAGGCAUCAGGAUCGAGGGGGAUGGGGUGCGGGCAGGGACAUGGGUGCAGGGGGCGGUUCUGCCCACUCUGGGCGGUGGCGGCGGCGGCUCUGGGGCUCAGGGGUGCGCUAGGGUUAGGCGCUGGGGCGGCUUGGGCCGAGAGGGGUCACGCGCGCGAGUUGGGCCGGGCAGGUAGCUGGGCGGCGACAGGGGCAGAGGGGAAAGGCGGGCCAGGCGGUGCCGAGGCCAACUGGGCCGCAGAGGGGGAAGGGUGGCUGGUUGGGCCAGAGCAUGAGCUGGGCUGGCGAGCUGGAGGGGGAGGAGGGGGAAAGGAAUCCUGGCCCAAGAGAAGAAGGAAGGCUUUUCCAUUUCUGGAUUAAACACAAAAGAAUGAAAACAAAAGGAGAUCGGAUAAAAUCCGAUGGAGUUUGAGACGUACUCCAACAAAAAGUUGAGAAGGGAUUCACUUCGCCUUUGAGAUAGGCUCCACGAAGAUUCGGGAAGACUUUGCUACGGAUUUGUGCACUCCAAAAGAAACUCAAAACCCUAAACAAGACUAAACUCCAAACCGACUCACGAACAAAAGCACUCACCUAGAAACAAAUCUAUAUGUAUGCCACGAUUUGUUUGCGGGUUAGGAUCGAUUUAGAUCUAAAAACUAUAUGCUUCACAAGAUUACAAGAAAAUUUUAAAAAGCUCGUAUUUUUGGUUUUCGUAAAAAUCUAGGAUGUUACAGACCACCCUCCUUACAGGAAUCUCGUCCCCGAGAUUUAGGCAUUGCUCGGUUGGUGAAGAAACGAGGGUGUCGUUCCCGAAGGUUUUCUUUCUUCUGAGUUGCUUUGCUUCUAGUAUUGUCGCUCCACAAACCUUUUCCAAAAUAGGAGUGAGUCAUGUUCUGGGUGCAUCCAGGGCUCAGUGACGGGUGUUGGGUGUCCAAUUUCUUACGCCAAGGCGAUGGGUAUCCAAGAAUCGCACCAGGUUGAUGAACAUCUAGCUCUCAAAGAGUGCUUGGCAGGCUGAAACAUAGCUAGGGUUGUUGGCUUUCACCAGAUGUUUUUCAUGCAUCACAUUUUGAAAAAGGCUUUUGAAAGGAGGGAUUUUUGGGAAACAGGUUUCAAAAAUUAGAGUGAAAGCGCUUUUACAAAGUCAAUUUUUUUUUCAGAGGCGUCAAAUUGAAGAGAGCUUUUGAAGAGUGUUGAAAUCAAUGCAAGUUUUGAAAACCAAAUCUUCUGAAGGUUUUGUUACAAAAGAUUUCAAAUCAAGAGAUUUUUUUAAAAUUCUUUUAUUUUAUUAUUAUUUUCUUUAAAACAAGGUAUUGCUCCAUUUUUAUUAGAGUCAAACAAACUAGUUUUGAAAGUGAUUAGAAAUCUUUCCUCAUUUGAAAGUUAGAGCCUUCACAACCAAAUCUUGUUUUCAACAUUUUUUUUGAAAGGAUGCAAAUAAAAUCUUUUCGCAAUGGUUUUUGUUUAAUAAAUCACUGGCAAUUUCUUUUUCUUUUAAGACAAGAUGGAUUUUUAAAAGGAAUUUGGCUCCUGAGAUAAAGUCAAAGGCCUUUAAAACAAAACUGAGCCAAAGUUCUUUGGUUUGAAAACCACCUUGUUGAUGAAAAAGCAAAACUUUUAUUUUAUUAUAUAUAUAUUAUUUUUUUGAAGGGGUUUUGUCACACCUUUUGCAAGAUGAUUUGUUUUUAAAUUGUUUCAUAAAUAACUUUUGAAUAAAAUUGAGUUGAGAAAGGGGUUAAAAUUGCUUUCUUUGUGAAAAUGAAAGAUAUUGAGAGAGUUUUGAAACACUUUUCCUUUUGAAACCAAGAUGUUUUUGUAAAAGAGGGAAACUUUUUCAACCAAAAGGAGAGGCAAAUUUUUUUAACCAAAGGGGCAAUUUUGAAGACAAGUUUAGUUGGAAACUGGAAACAAUUUUGAAAUGGUUGGGUAAAACAAGAUGCAUCAGCUUUACACCCUUUUUCAACUAUGUUAUUCAGGGGCACCUAUCUACUCUCGGGACGAUCUUGGGUUUAGCCAGCUAAAUUAGACAGGAUCCAGAGUCUUACUCGCAUAAAAUAGGUUUAUAGCUUACACUCAAACAACAAGAAGCCGAAGAAACACAACAACAUAAGAUCCAAGCACUCAAACAGCAUUACAAUUCCUAAUGCAUAGUGUUGACUUGAGGCGACUCACCGACCUUCAAAGUCUCACACGACUACCGAUCUAGCGUGGGCGGGUAUGGGAAAAGAUUCCAACGGUCAACUUUACGAUACAGGGAGGUCAGUUAGCAGCAGAAUUCAAGGCGGAGGGGAAAACAAGCGUUAGCAUCUAUAACUCUACAAAAGAUAGAAUGUUUGGCUUCUCUACUAGUGUUUGGUCCUAAAGGUCUCGUCCUAGGGUCAAGUAUGGCUCUGAUACCAACUGAAACGACCUAGAUUUUUCCACAAAGGGGAAAAAUCCUCAGAUUCGAAUUAUAAUGUGAUAAUUCAGAAAUUGAGCCAUCACAUUAUCAUAUAUCAGCUGUUAUCACAGUCAUACAUCGUGAAAAAGGAGAUUACAACACAUUUACUUUAAACCUGAGAGGAAGAAAUUUUCUCCUUCUAAUAUUAGAUAGAUGUAGAUAUAAAUUUAUUACAAUUUAAUGCAAUUAUUAUAUUUGUGAAAUGAUGGUUGACCAUGUUAUUCUUAAUUUGUACGUUCGUGUGAAAACACGCAAGGACUAACUUGCUGCAUAAAAAAUAACUAUAAUUGGAAAAUAUAAUUUUUUGAAUAGAACUAGGCAAAGAAGGAUAUGUUUAGAUCUCAUCAAUUGAAACCAAUAUCUAGAAGGUGCUUUUUAUUUUAUUUUAAAAUAUUUCUAGUUUCUCUGAAUUUCUAGGAACCCACGUAGCAGGGCCUAAGCUAAGUGAUUUAGAACCAGCUUGGCAGAGCUCCCAAAAUAGCGUCCAAGUUGAAAGCUAGGUAGGAGAAACUAUGCUAAACAGUUUUUUUACUGAGAAGUGAUUUUUUGCACAUAUCUGUGAAGUGCUUCUUUGAAAUGGACUAAAAGGCAGGGAGCUGAAAAAAGUAAUUCCUCUUGAUUGAUUCCAUGCAUAAAAUCAUUAUAUGCAUAACUUGAAGUAGGAGGAGCUCAGCAAACUGGCCCUUGACCCUUUUGCUGAUUCAACGUGCCGUGAAAAAACAAGAAACCUUUUCUGCUUAGAAAUGUUUCUAGUGUCUAACGAUUCACUAGUUUCGGAGAACCGCAACUGAAACGACCUAGAUUUUUCCACAAAGGGGAAAAAUCCUCAGAUUCGAAUUAUAAUGUGAUAAUUCAGAAAUUGAGCCAUCACAUUAUCAUAUAUCAGCUGUUAUCACAGUCAUACAUCGUGAAAAAGGAGAUUACAACACAUUUACUUUACAACUCUUAGUUAACAAGCCUAUUACAUCGUUUUACUAGCGGAAACAUACACGAAUCUUUAUCAGAGUUGAUGUAGCGCGUCAACGGUGAAGGCUCCUCCUUCACAGGCAAUCAUCAGAGUCGGCGUAGUUUAUCAGCGGGCGUAGCCUUCAUCUCCGAACCAAACUUGAGCGCAUGAACGAGACCACCUAAUCCUUCUAUUCUCCGUGGUUAUCGUCUUAGACCACGUUCAACACCUGCUAAACAAUUUUCAGUACGAUUUGUACUGGCCACUGGCUCCCACCCUAUGCUUUUGCGUAAGCUUUGUGGUAAGUGGAAUGCAAAGGGGUAGAUCAAGAGGCCUAUAAAUAUGGUUGUAGUCUUUCCUAUGCAAGUUCAUCAAUAUUUAAUAAUAAUAUUCAUCAGGUUUUAAUCCAUCUCAACCACACAUCCAUCCAUCCAUCCAUCCAUCCAUCACACACAUCUCACCACACUCUCACUCUCUAGGCGGCAAGUACGACUCCCGCUCGUGCCUUGCCUCAACGUCCAACGCCGGAUCCAACACAAACCCAGGGGAAGGUAGAAGGGACUCCUCUCUCUAGUCAAGUGAAGCGGAAACAUAGGAAAGGUCCAUAGCCGAAAACGGCAUAUGUAUCGAUCGAUCAACCAGAAACUCUGCAGAGGUUUGCACUAACCACAAGAUCACCAUCAUCGGUGGUGCGCCCCACCUAGGCUGAUGCCGGGCUGCCUUCCAACUAAGUACGAUGCCACCCUACCACUCAGAACUGGGACCAUACCGGAGUACCUCCGGUACGCUGAGACUGUGAGGCGUAGUACCGGGCCCCCAAAGGUCACUACGCUGUCUUAGGAGGGUGUGGGUCCUCAUGCCCGUACCUCCCUACACUGUCAACCAACAACCUAGUAGUAGUGGCACCGCCCUAACUGGUCGUACAUCCGUCUCCUCCCCAUAAGAGCGAGUGGGGUGCAAGGCUUCCUACGAACCGGUUCUCAGAACAUCUCAGUCCUUAGGGUGACCGAACAGGACAUCUUCACGAGGGGCCAACCGAUGCCCGGCUCGACGGGACAUCCGAUUACCCCGUGUUAAACAGCACCUCCCAUCCCGGUGCUUCGUCCCACGAAGACACUCCACUCCGGGACCUCUCCCUGUCACAUGUACCCGCCACAGGUAAGAGACGGGGAAUCAGAAAGAGUGACACACAAGAACACGAGUGCUUAAACACUUGUAGGGUACCACGACCUAGGUGCACUAAAUGCACUAAGACAUCCCUAGGGUUCAUAGCAGUGCGGUUGUCACCGCGAGAACCAAAGAAACGCUACGGUCAAGUAGGUACAAGCAUACAAGAGUUUAAGUACGAAGAACCAAAAGGCGGUAAAAGACACGGGUUUCACUUUCCAUUGAUCCGCUCGCCAUAUCAACAACGGGAAUCGCGGGAUUGGAAACAAAACAUCAAACAAGCAAAAAGGAGCUCAAUCCACAUCUUACUGGAUCGACGGGGAUUGAGAACAAGAGAGAAGAAGAAGAAUGGGGUCCACGUUCUUUCAACCCAACUCAUCAUGGAACGAACGACGGUUGGAUAAAAAGUGAUGCGACCCCACGAUCUACUCCAACUCAAAACGCUUCACGACCUAGGUGCUUCUGACUCGGCACAAGGUCAUUCCUAUAGUUCUAGGCGAUGCGGUUGUCAUCGCGGGAACUAGGGGAAAUGCCCGGGUCUAGGUGGCAUAAGCAUACGAGACAGAAUAAAUAAACACGCGAGAAAAAUGGGAUAGGCUCAAUGGCCAUGGCGAGGCGUCUCGCGACCAUGAGCUUCACCUAACGAGUUGGCUUCCGACUGUUCCACGAAGGUUGUCCCCUAAUUCGUAUCCCACUCGACUAGGUCAUUUAGGUCUCGGGUGUGCGGGUAAGAACCGCGUCGUUAACGACAUCGAGUCCACGAUGACCACGUCCGAGGGACGGGAAUAGGAGCUAACGACCGUAGCGCAACGAAGUCAACUAAACACAAGGAAUGAGUUACGCUCGGCAUCGCGAUCACGGCGGGACGAACCCACGAUCGAAAUGAUCGAACGCACUACCAUUUCCCUAACCGGCUCGAAGGCUCGGUCCUCAGGCAACGACAAACACAUAAAGAAUCACGACUCGACCAAAGACAACACAAGGGACACGAUGACAACUCAGAGUAGCACAUUUCCAUAGCACGAGAGAUAGAUAGAGAUAGAUAAAUAAACCAGCACGAAGGCACGACACAGGCAUGGAUAUAGAUAAAUCAUAUAACAAGUGCACGACAUGGAUGGAUCAUAUAUCGACAAGGUAGGAGAUGUAUGAUCAUGUACAGAUGAUAGAUAACGAAAUGAUAUAUGAACAAAUAUGAUUUAAUAUGGAGUUCCAACGUCGACUAGGGUUUAGGGGGGGUUUCGACCUUGCCGAACACGAAGAAGGGCGUAGGUCAGCUGCAAGUCUUCUGCUUGGCUGGCUGUGGCUCGCUGCGGCUCGGCUGGAGGCAGCAGGCAGCAGGCAGCGAGAAGGCAUCACUUCUUCGGCCAAAACACAACGGGACCAAAACUUCCCUGCAACAGUGGAAGAACACGACACGAAGGCCGGUCUCAGCGAGGCGAAAUAGGAAGGGGAAAACCUUGGUCUGGGCGAGGCUCACCGGGGGUUUGGCUUGGCGAGGUCGUGCACAGGAGUUCGACGCGGUGACCGUGGCGAGGACGGGGACGCCGCGGGCUCCUG
rnacentral:lncRNA from 1 species